GGUUAAGCGACUAAGCGUACACGGUGGAUGCCCUGGCAGUCAGAGGCGAUGAAGGACGUGCUAAUCUGCGAUAAGCGUCGGUAAGGUGAUAUGAACCGUUAUAACCGGCGAUUUCCGAAUGGGGAAACCCAGUGUGAUUCGUCACACUAUCAUUAACUGAAUCCAUAGGUUAAUGAGGCGAACCGGGGGAACUGAAACAUCUAAGUACCCCGAGGAAAAGAAAUCAACCGAGAUUCCCCCAGUAGCGGCGAGCGAACGGGGAGCAGCCCAGAGCCUGAAUCAGUGUGUGUGUUAGUGGAAGCGUCUGGAAAGGCGCGCGAUACAGGGUGACAGCCCCGUACACAAAAAUGCACAUGCUGUGAGCUCGAUGAGUAGGGCGGGACACGUGGUAUCCUGUCUGAAUAUGGGGGGACCAUCCUCCAAGGCUAAAUACUCCUGACUGACCGAUAGUGAACCAGUACCGUGAGGGAAAGGCGAAAAGAACCCCGGCGAGGGGAGUGAAAAAGAACCUGAAACCGUGUACGUACAAGCAGUGGGAGCACGCUUAGGCGUGUGACUGCGUACCUUUUGUAUAAUGGGUCAGCGACUUAUAUUCUGUAGCAAGGUUAACCGAAUAGGGGAGCCGAAGGGAAACCGAGUCUUAACUGGGCGUUAAGUUGCAGGGUAUAGACCCGAAACCCGGUGAUCUAGCCAUGGGCAGGUUGAAGGUUGGGUAACACUAACUGGAGGACCGAACCGACUAAUGUUGAAAAAUUAGCGGAUGACUUGUGGCUGGGGGUGAAAGGCCAAUCAAACCGGGAGAUAGCUGGUUCUCCCCGAAAGCUAUUUAGGUAGCGCCUCGUGAAUUCAUCUCCGGGGGUAGAGCACUGUUUCGGCAAGGGGGUCAUCCCGACUUACCAACCCGAUGCAAACUGCGAAUACCGGAGAAUGUUAUCACGGGAGACACACGGCGGGUGCUAACGUCCGUCGUGAAGAGGGAAACAACCCAGACCGCCAGCUAAGGUCCCAAAGUCAUGGUUAAGUGGGAAACGAUGUGGGAAGGCCCAGACAGCCAGGAUGUUGGCUUAGAAGCAGCCAUCAUUUAAAGAAAGCGUAAUAGCUCACUGGUCGAGUCGGCCUGCGCGGAAGAUGUAACGGGGCUAAACCAUGCACCGAAGCUGCGGCAGCGACGCUUAUGCGUUGUUGGGUAGGGGAGCGUUCUGUAAGCCUGCGAAGGUGUGCUGUGAGGCAUGCUGGAGGUAUCAGAAGUGCGAAUGCUGACAUAAGUAACGAUAAAGCGGGUGAAAAGCCCGCUCGCCGGAAGACCAAGGGUUCCUGUCCAACGUUAAUCGGGGCAGGGUGAGUCGACCCCUAAGGCGAGGCCGAAAGGCGUAGUCGAUGGGAAACAGGUUAAUAUUCCUGUACUUGGUGUUACUGCGAAGGGGGGACGGAGAAGGCUAUGUUGGCCGGGCGACGGUUGUCCCGGUUUAAGCGUGUAGGCUGGUUUUCCAGGCAAAUCCGGAAAAUCAAGGCUGAGGCGUGAUGACGAGGCACUACGGUGCUGAAGCAACAAAUGCCCUGCUUCCAGGAAAAGCCUCUAAGCAUCAGGUAACAUCAAAUCGUACCCCAAACCGACACAGGUGGUCAGGUAGAGAAUACCAAGGCGCUUGAGAGAACUCGGGUGAAGGAACUAGGCAAAAUGGUGCCGUAACUUCGGGAGAAGGCACGCUGAUAUGUAGGUGAAGUCCCUUGCGGAUGGAGCUGAAAUCAGUCGAAGAUACCAGCUGGCUGCAACUGUUUAUUAAAAACACAGCACUGUGCAAACACGAAAGUGGACGUAUACGGUGUGACGCCUGCCCGGUGCCGGAAGGUUAAUUGAUGGGGUCAGCGCAAGCGAAGCUCUUGAUCGAAGCCCCGGUAAACGGCGGCCGUAACUAUAACGGUCCUAAGGUAGCGAAAUUCCUUGUCGGGUAAGUUCCGACCUGCACGAAUGGCGUAAUGAUGGCCAGGCUGUCUCCACCCGAGACUCAGUGAAAUUGAACUCGCUGUGAAGAUGCAGUGUACCCGCGGCAAGACGGAAAGACCCCGUGAACCUUUACUAUAGCUUGACACUGAACAUUGAGCCUUGAUGUGUAGGAUAGGUGGGAGGCUUUGAAGUGUGGACGCCAGUCUGCAUGGAGCCGACCUUGAAAUACCACCCUUUAAUGUUUGAU
rnacentral:rRNA from 1 species